UACGUAGGGGGCGAGCGUUAUCCGGAAUUAUUGGGCGUAAAGAGCUCGUAGGCGGUUUGUCGCGUCGAAUGUGAAAACCCGGGGCUCAACCCCGGGCCUGCAUUCGAUACGGGCAGACUAGAGUUCGGUAGGGGAGUCUGGAAUUCCUGGUGUAGCGGUGAAAUGCGCAGAUAUCAGGAGGAACACCGGUGGCGAAGGCGGGACUCUGGGCCGAUACUGACGCUGAGGAGCGAAAGCGUGGGGAGCAAACAGG
rnacentral:rRNA from 1 species